AAAAGACAGUAGUGACAGAUUGGUUCAUGUUUGAUCUAUCAACACAACAUCAGCGGAGGUUUGGAAAACGGUUGUUAAGCGUUGUACGUAGGUUACUUUUUAAACAAAUUUUUGCUCCCGAAGAUUUCCAUGAUUGCUACUGUUUACAAGUGCGAUUUCUAAGUUAAUAAAAUGGAUGAAGCAUCCAAAGGUGAAGUAGAAUUGACUACUAAAAGCGGAUUGGAUAGCCCUGCGAGAAAGAAGCACAAAAAGGAACACAAACAUAAACACAAGAAACACAUAAGUGAAAAGUCAGAUAAAACGAAAAAACACAAAAAACGGAAGAAACAUAAACAGAAACAAAGGGAUGUGUCAGAAGAUAGGGUUUCUUCAAAGAGUGACAAACAUGAUCGGUAUACACCCGAGUUAUCACCUAAGUCAACAACUGCAGUAUGUAAAAAAAAAGUUAAUCAUAUUAUUAAUGGUAAAUCUUUGUCAGGGACAUCAAAAAACAAGGAAUUGGUUAAAAGUGACACAGAUGAAGUCGCAAACUAUGUCAUGUCUGGUCUGACAGAAUCCCAUUCUCUUGAGGUCAUAUCAUCUGAAAGUGAAGAUGCUGUGCCAGAAACGGAAUGUGAUAGUGAUGCAAUAGAUGUUAAUGUAAUUGAAGCAGAUAUGGAUUUAGAAGAGUUAAUGAAACAGAAAGAAUUAUUGCAAGCCGAAAUAGCUAAAGCAGAAAUGGAAUCUAGUACAAGUCCAAAUGUCCCAAAGAAAAAUGGGAAAGAUCCAAAAAUUGUUGAUGAAAUUAUAUUAUUAGAUGACUCAAGUAAUGAUGGCGACAUUAUACCACCCAAAAAAGCCAAACGGUCUCCCAGUCGAGAGCGUCGGGUUGUUAUUGAAAGGAAAGAUCAUUACAGUAAGGAUGAUUUAAAACGGAAACAUAGUCAAGAAAGGACAUACAGGGAACAUGAAAAAUUAAACAGGGAUAAAAUGUAUAAAGACUUAGAUAGACAUGGGAGAGAUUGCGAUAAGCGGUUGAACAGAGAUCGAGAAUAUCAUAGAAUCAGCAAUCAAGUAAUGAGGUCGACAGAACGGCGUUCAAGGGAACGUUCCAAGUCGUACAUAUUUGACCGUGAUAGAUCUUACCACGCUAAAGACAGAAAAUCCAAGGAACGACGUAGAUCUAGAGAGCGAAGAUAUGAAACAAUAAAGGACAAAUAUCGCUCAGACAGAGAUAGAGGACACUGUAGGAAUGAUCCAAAAGAUAGAAAAAACAAAGAAUACUAUAAAACAAACAGACCUGAAAAACAAGAUAAAUAUAAGGAUUCUUUAAGUGAAGGAAUGAAGCAUGGACUUAGUAGUGACAGUGACAUUGAUGUAAACAUUGAUCUUGUUGAUGAUGAAGAAGAUGAACAGAAAAUUAUAGAAAAAAGAAGAAAGCAAAGGGAAGAAUUAUUAAAGCGGUUAGGAGGUGUUAGCGAAGAUUCAAAUACAAAUACUUCUGUGCCGUCUUCACCAAAAGAUAAUAAUGAAGUUUCAAAGCCUAUUCAACGAAGUCAGCCAGAAAUCAUAGCGGAAAACACACCAGAACAUGCAGAAACACAAAUUGAUGAAGUAGAAGAAUCCCAUACCCCUCCGUUGUUACCAAACAUGAAAAUUAAGGCAAACACAAAUGAAAAGGAAAAGGAUAAGGGUAAAAAGCCAAACUGGGAUAUGUUUGCUGAUCAAGAUAUAUUUAAAGAGGAUACAAAUUCACCCAAUACUAUUGUUACAAAAGGCGCUGGAGCUGAAAAUCCGGCAUUAACUGAUAAUUGGGACGAUGCAGAAGGUUACUAUAGGGUCAGAAUAGGAGAAAUAUUAGAUUCACGAUAUAUGGUUUAUGGUUAUACUGGACAGGGUGUGUUUAGUAAUGUAGUUCGAGCAAGAGACCAAGCUAGAGCAAAUCUAGAUGUUGCUGUAAAAAUAAUUCGAAAUAAUGAAAUAAUGCACAAAACCGGCUUAAAAGAAUUAGAAAUUCUAAAGAAGUUAAAUGACGCAGAUCCUGAAGAUAAAUUACACUGUUUACGAUUAAUUCGACACUUUUUCCAUAAACAGCAUUUGUGUAUGGUUUUUGAACCAUUAGCUAUGAACCUCAGAGAAGUAUUAAAAAAAUAUGGAAAAGAUGUUGGUUUGCACAUUAAAGCUGUUAGGAGUUAUACACAACAACUCUUGCUAGCCUUAAAAUUGUUAAAAAAGACUGGCAUUCUUCAUGCAGAUAUUAAACCUGACAAUAUAUUAGUCAAUGAAAGUAAACUUGUACUGAAAUUGUGCGAUUUUGGUUCGGCGUCAUAUAUAAAUGAUAAUGAAAUUACACCCUAUUUGGUGUCUAGAUUUUACAGAGCACCUGAAAUAAUUUUAGGUAUUCCCUAUGAUUAUGGAAUUGAUAUGUGGUCAGCGGCUUGUACUAUUUAUGAAUUGUACACAGGCAGAAUAUUGUUUUCUGGAAAAUCGAACAAUCAGAUGUUGAAGUUUUUCAUGGAUGUUAAAGGAAAGUUUCCAAAUAGGGUCAUUCGAAAAGGAGCCUUUCGGGAUCAACAUUUUGAUAAUAACUGCAAUUUUCUCUAUCAUGAAAUAGAUAAAGUUACUGAAAGGGAAAAAGUGGUGGUCAUGUCAGUUGUAAAGUUAAGCAGAGAUCUACAAUCUGAACUCGUGGCAGGACAAGCUUUACCACCAGACCAAUUGCGUAAAGUAACCCAACUGAAAGAUAUGUUGGAAAAAGCUUUGACAAUUGACCCAGCCAAAAGAAUUAGUUUAAACAACGCUUUAACGCAUCCAUUUAUCCAGGACAAGAUAUGAGGGUUGGUCUAGUGAGAAUAACGGAGAAAUGAAUGUGUGGAGUAGGAGAUCAUGGUGUAAAUAUUAAGCAUAAUGGACUUGAGAAAUUGGAACUACGUAAUAGAAAUCAAAGAGAGGACCUAUUUAUACAGUAAACUAGAAACACAAGGGUUAAGGUUAAGUGUCUAUUUUUCCGUUGUGUUUUAACUAACAGUUUUUCUCUUAAGUUGUAGUUAAAAGUUAUUGGCUGGUGUAAGAAAGACAGUCAAGUCCUUUAAAAUCAGGUAAGUUAAUGAUAAGUGAGUUAAUUUAAAAAGAUGUGAAAAAUAGUAAUUGUUAAUUUAUUGCUAUAAUUGUGUAUAAGUAACUACUAAGAGGGCCCCUACUGAACACAACACUUUUUUAAAAGGAUUGUACCCUGUUUUUA